rnacentral:rRNA from 1 species
AGGGAGUUUGAUCCUGGCUCAGGAUGAACGCUAGCGGCAGGCUUAACACAUGCAAGUCGAGGGGCAGCGGGUGUAGCAAUACAUGCCGGCGACCGGCGCAAGGGUGCGUAACGCGUGAGCAAUCUGCCCGUAUCAGGGGGAUAAGCGAUGGAAACGUCCUCUAAUACCGCAUAACACCAAUGAUGGCAUCAUCGAUGGUUGAAAGCUUCGGUGGAUACGGAUGAGCUCGCGAGACAUUAGUUAGUUGGCGGGGUAACGGCCCACCAAGACCGCGAUGUCUAGGGGAACUGAGAGGUUGGUCCCCCACACUGGAACUGAGACACGGUCCAGACUCCUACGGGAGGCAGCAGUGAGGAAUAUUGGACAAUGGCCGGAAGGCUGAUCCAGCCAUGCCGCGUGAAGGAAUAAGGUCCUAUGGAUUGUAAACUUCUUUUGUACGAGAGCAAUAAGUGUCACGAGUGACACGAUGAGAGUAUCGUACGAAUAAGCAUCGGCUAACUCCGUGCCAGCAGCCGCGGUAAUACGGAGGAUGCGAGCGUUAUCCGGAUUUAUUGGGUUUAAAGGGUGCGUAGGCGGGAUUUUAAGUCAGCGGUGAAACGCAAGGGCUCAACCCUUGACCUGCCGUUGAAACUGGAGUUCUUGAAUGCGGAUGCUGUGGGAGGAAUGUGUGGUGUAGCGGUGAAAUGCAUAGAUAUCACACAGAACACCGAUUGCGAAGGCAUCUCACAAAUCCGUGAUUGACGCUGAGGCACGAAAGUGUGGGGAUCAAACAGGAUUAGAUACCCUGGUAGUCCCCU